GAAAAUCCACCAAGACCUGAACUUCCCACAGAAACUCAGCUAUCCCUGUACACCAAACCCACUAAUCCCUGAGUUCCUCCAGACUCAGAACUUGAAAGACCAGCCAUCCUCACUCUACCCGAGGACGCUCCAUGUCCCAAGAACAGCUCUGUCAGCACUGGGCUUUGUCCAGUUACCAGGCGCUGUCUGCACCUCCUGGGACCAUAGGCACAAAUCCUCCUGGAUUCAUCCUCCCAUACUGUGGACAUUGCCAAUGACUGCCUUUCAUGGUAUGUGCCGUCUGGCGUUCUUCUCUCAUUGGAAGAAGACAAGAGCAAUGAAGACAAGAAAGGGAGCCAAGGACCAGUGUUCAAGCUCCUGAAUGCCUCAGCUCAGCAGAGCCUGCCCUGGAGCUGUAAAGUCUCUGCUGAGGAGGCUUCCUCUCAGAUCUCUGUGGUUCCUGGGCUCCCACAUCUCAGGAUGCCCUUCCGUUAGGACACUGUCCCACCUCAGAGAUGUAUGGUUCCUGGGCUUCCAAGUCCCAGAACACCUUCCGAUCCUAGCACAAAGGCCAACAACCAGGGCCACUGCCCCUACAAGAUCCAGCUAUCAUCUGAUAGAGUCUGAGGACAAACUCCCAGGGAUGGGCCAUGCAGAAGAUUAUCACGGGACUUCAUCUUCCUCAGCACUCGAAGAUAAAAGCGGUCAGCAUCCACGGAGCGUCCAUCUUAUCAGUGGGUCCAGACAUUUUCCGGAUGUGGUAGGAUGCCUGCAAGGAUCU
rnacentral:lncRNA from 1 species